rnacentral:rRNA from 1 species
CAGCAGCCACGGGAAAACGAAGGGGGCUAGCGUUGUUCGGAAUUACUGGGCGUAAAGGGCGCGUAGGCGGCCAUUCAAGUUAGAUGUGAAAGCCCUGGGCUCAACCUAGGAAUUGCAUUUGAUACUGUUUGGCUUGAGUUCGGGAGAGGUGAGUGGAAUUCCCAGUGUAGAGGUGAAAUUCGUAGAUAUUGGGAAGAACACCAGUGGCGAAGGCGGCUCACUGGACCGACACUGACGCUGAGGCGCGAAAGCGUGGGGAGCAAACAGGAUUAGAUACCCCAGUAGUCCCUGUCUCUUAUAC